CCUGAUCACUUUCACACCCAGCCAAGAGCCCUCCUCUUCCCUCCUAUUCCCUCCUAUUCCUACUUCUUUGGAUGUUUUCUCCCCUUUUGCUCUCCACCUUCCAAUCCAAAACUUUUGGUGCGUUUCCCCUGCACGGCAGGACACUCACAAGUUCACAGGGUUUCCAAGGAGCACCUGCCCCAAGACAGGAUGGAGAGCCGCCAUCGGAAAGGUGCUUGGGCAGCCAAGAGGGGAGGAAAUCAGAGCCAUGCCCCGCCCCCCCGGCCCUCUCCCUCAGGAGGGAUUCCCAGGCUCUGAGCGAACAAAAGUGCUCAGGGAAGAGCUUGGCAUACGGAUACCCCAAAGUCAGACAGGUAAAAUGAGACCUGGCUGACAUUCAGCUAUCCAGGAAUACGAGUGGUCCUGCUGGCUCUCCUUCACCAGAACAGAGUCCUGCAGACAUUUGCCCUGACUGACACUUUCCCAUGGAAAACAACCAAGGCCACCACUUGAGCAGAGCUGGGGAACACUGGCAGCAUCUGGGGAAGGAUAUUUCCUGCACUGUAUUAUCAGCCUGGCACUGGAUGACUGAUGCCAAAAUAUUUUAAUUGAAAAAG